rnacentral:rRNA from 1 species
AACAGGAUUAGAUACCCUGGUAGUCCACGCCGUAAACGAUGUCGACUUGGAGGUUGUGCCCUUGAGGCGUGGCUUCCGGAGCUAACGCGUUAAGUCGACCGCCUGGGGAGUACGGCCGCAAGGUUAAAACUCAAAUGAAUUGACGGGGGCCCGCACAAGCGGUGGAGCAUGUGGUUUAAUUCGAUGCAACGCGAAGAACCUUACCCGGUCUUGACAUCCACAGAACUUUCCAGAGAUGGAUUGGUGCCUUCGGGAACUGUGAGACAGGUGCUGCAUGGCUGUCGUCAGCUCGUGUUGUGAAAUGUUGGGUUAAGUCCCGCAACGAGCGCAACCCUUAUCCUUUGUUGCCAGCGGUCCGGCCGGGAACUCAAAGGAGACUGCCAGUGAUAAACUGGAGGAAGGUGGGGAUGACGUCAAGUCAUCAUGGCCCUUACGACCAGGGCUACACACGUGCUACAAUGGCGCAUACAAAGAGAAGCAAUCUCGCGAGAGCUAGCGGACCUCAUAAAGUGCGUCGUAGUCCGGAUUGGAGUCUGCAACUCGACUCCAUGAAGUCGGAAUCGCUAGUAAUCGUGAAUCAGAAUGUCACGGUGAAUACGUUCCCGGGCCUUGUACACACCGCCCGUCACACCAUGGGAGUGGGUUGCAAAAGAAGUAGGUAGCUUAACCUUCGGGAGGGCGCUUACCACUUUGUGAUUCAUGACUGGGGUGAAGUCGUAACAAGGUAACC